AGCGAACGCUGGCGGCAGGCCUAACACAUGCAAGUCGAACGAACCUUUCGGGGUUAGUGGCGGACGGGUGAGUAACACGUGGGAACGUGCCUUUAGGUUCGGAAUAACUCAGGGAAACUUGUGCUAAUACCGAAUGUGCCCUUCGGGGGAAAGAUUAAUCGCCUUUAGAGCGGCCCGCGUCUGAUUAGCUAGUUGGUUGAGGUAAUGGCUCACCAAGGCGACGAUCAGUAGCUGGUCUGAGAGGAUGAUCAGCCACACUGGGACUGAGACACGGCCCAAACUCCUACGGGAGGCAGCAGUGGGGAAUCUUGCGCAAUGGGCGAAAGCCUGACGCAGCCAUGCCGCGUGAAUGAUGAAGGUCUUAGGAUUGUAAAAUUCUUUCACCGGGGACGAUAAUGACGGUACCCGGAGAAGAAGCCCCGGCUAACUUCGUG
rnacentral:rRNA from 1 species